AAAGGGCAGUAUUGCACAUAAACACUGCUCUUCCCGUAGAUCGAAGAACCUUUUUGACCACCUACGGAAUCUCUUUCUUCCGUCUCUCUCACUCACUCUUUCCUUUAUAAAUCGUUCUUCUCUCAAACCCUGUUUUCGCCUCUCGCGAUCGAAUAGGGAGGACUGAGGAGAAAAGAACUAAGAAGCUUGCGGCUUGAUCGAUUCGGGCUGCUUUUGGCGGCCCGGAUCUCGUCGUCCUCUGAUCGUACGGCGGGGGCGGGCUUGUCGGCCACUGCCUACGUGAGUGUCCGUCAAGAAACGGGAAAUAAAGGAACCGCCUUUCUCGUGUUUCUCUUCCAGUUUUCCUGUGACGCUUUCAGUCCAUUGCCUUGUUUUCGUUCUCCGCAUUCCGGUUACAUUACCGGAGAAAAAGAAAGAAACGCUGAAGGAAGAGUACAAUCUUCUCUGUGUAAGGGAGCAGCUUGGCUGAUGCUCAUGGAGGCCAAUGGCCUAGUAAAGAUAACAAGAAGGAACCACAUGGCUCAAGGAGAUAUUGAUGCGAAAUCUAAAAGUGAUUUUGGCGAGCUUGAUCCAUGGACAGCUUGGGCAUACAAGCCACGCACAAUAUCUUUACUCCUCAUCGGGACAUGUAUAUUAGUUUGGGCAAGUGGAGCACUUGAUCCUGAAAGCACAGCAUCAAAAGACAUUGUUUCAUCAGUAAAGAGGGGUGUUUGGGCAAUGAUUGCAGUGUUCCUAGCCUAUUCCUUGCUGCAAGCACCUUCAACGGUCCUUAUAAGGCCGCAUCCUGCCAUUUGGCGCUUGGUUCAUGGAAUGGCUGUGGUGUACCUUGUUGCCCUCACUUUUUUGCUUUUCCAGAAUCGUGAUGAUGCUCGGCAGUUUAUGAAAUAUCUCCACCCUGAUCUAGGAGUUGAACUACCUGAAAGGUCAUACGGAGCUGAUUGUCGUAUUUAUGUCCCUGAUAAUCCAAAAAGCAGGUUUAUCAAUGUUUAUGAGACAUUAUUUGACGAGUUUGUUCUUGCUCAUAUUUUUGGAUGGUGGGGGAAGGCGAUAAUGAUACGUAACCAGCCCCUUUUGUGGGUGUUGUCAGUUGGCUUUGAAUUAAUGGAGCUUACUUUUCGUCAUAUGUUGCCGAAUUUCAACGAGUGUUGGUGGGACAGUAUUAUUUUGGACAUCUUAAUCUGCAAUUGGUUUGGUAUUUGUGCAGGAAUGCGUACUGUUAGGUACUUUGAUGGGAAAACCUAUGAAUGGGUUGGCAUAAGUCGCCAGCCAAAUAUCAUUGGUAAAGUCAAAAGAACAUUGGGGCAAUUUACACCCGCACGAUGGGACAAAGAUGAAUGGCAUCCUUUGCUUGGACCAUGGAGGUUCAUUCAAGUGCUGUGCCUCUGUGUUGUUUUUAUGACCGUGGAGCUCAAUACCUUCUUUCUCAAGUUUUGUCUUUGGAUUCCACCUAGAAACCCCUUGAUUGUUUAUAGAUUGGUUCUGUGGUGGUUAAUUGCUAUACCAACUAUCCGUGAGUACAAUACCUACUUGCAAGACAGGUAUACUUGGUUCUACCAUAAAAAAAAGUAUUCUUUAGUAAAUGUGCAAAAUUCCUGUUCAUCUCAAGUUAAUCGUUAGCAUGUACCACUAGUUCUUAAUUUAUUAAAACACAAAAUGGUAUCUAAUUUUUGAUGUAUUUUCACUUUCCAAAAUGCGAUGAUCACAAGCAACUGUUGCACCUAGAACUAGAACGAUGACUAACAUGAUCAAUGGUUUCAGAGAGCCUGUGAAGAAGGUUGGAGCAUUCUGUUGGAUUUCACUAGCUAUUUGCAUAGUGGAGCUUCUGAUAUGUGUCAAAUUUGGACAUGGUCUCUUUCCCCAUCCAAUGCCCCCGUGGUUGAUUACAUUCUGGACGACUGUGGGUAUGGCCCUCGUUGUCUUCCUACUUGUUUGGUCAUCGCAUAUUCAUCGAGUAGUGAUGAAAAAAAGGUUAUGAUCGCCUUUCAGAUUUUUCUUCUACCAUUUAUUGUGCCAUGUAAAUAUGCCUCACAUUUGUAAAUGGCGUAAUUGAUGCCUAGACUGGAAACCAGUCUGGCAGGUAGAGGAAAUUCCUUUAUGUUCUGUUUUUUUUUUUUUGUGGCAAUUAUGUUUUUGGUUUCAAUUCCUCCUGUACUGUUAGUAGCUGUUUUUCUCAAUGACUUUGACUCUUAUUUAUUCAAUUAAACUGUGAGAUAAGUUCACAUUUGAAAAAUGAAAUCGGUGUUCUCACU